rnacentral:rRNA from 1 species
CUGGGCGUAAAGCGCAUGCAGGUGGUUUGUUAAGUCAGAUGUGAAAGCCCCGGGGCUCAACCUCGGAAUUGCAUUUGAAACUGGCAGACUAGAGUACUGUAGAGGGGGUAGAAUUUCAGGUGUAGCGGUGAAAUGCGUAGAGAUCUGAAGGAAUACCGGUGGCGAAGGCGGCCCCCUGGACAGAUACUGACACUCAGAUGCGAAAGCGUGGGGAGCAAACAGGAUUAGAUACCCUGUAG